CCAUUUUAUUAAUUAAGAGGCCUGGAGUAAUUUAAAAUUAAUAGUCAAGAGCAAGACCAGUCAUGAACAAUUUAAAAGGAGUAGCAAGAAGCUUACAUCGCAUUAACAUUCUCUCAUCAACAUUGACAAGCCCCACCGGAAACCAAAAGAAACACGAGCAUACUAACAACAAAUGACAACAGAAGAAAUUGCAAGAUACUUGCGUCUACUAUAUACGGCAAAAAUUCACGUGGCACAAGCUAAGCUGGCUUUUGCAUCUAAUUAUCGAUCAAUUCUGCCGGCACCACAUUCUGGAUGAAGUUAUAUUCUUUACAUGAUAAAUCAAUCCUCAUCCACCAAUAGAAAAGCUAACGGGAUAAUAUAUCUGCUACUCGAUCUUGCGCAUCAGGGGGAAUCUCCCUUCCUGGGACUUGGACCUUUAGAAGACUAGCAUACUCUGUGGCUGUAAACAAGUGCUCGUGCUCUGUGAUGAAAGCAAGCAAGGCCUCAAAUGGCAUAUUUAAUAAUUCAUAAUAGGAGCGGACAUGAUCUAAUUUCUGCUGUACAGCUCCACUAUCAAUUGAUGGAAUAGCUGCCAGGGCCUGUUCCAGUGCAAUUGAAUUUCGACAUAUCUGUUGAACCCCGAAAAGGUUAAUGGCUUUCAUGUCAGCCAAAGCCUUGAUUGAUGCAUUUGCAGCAACGCUACAAAUUCCACCAAAUAUGUAAUUCCGCUUUACUCCUGCCACAAAAGGUGCCAUUUCCUCAUCCCUACGUGUUAUCUGGGCUGUGAGUGAAAUUAUGAAGUCAUCAGGCUCUUCUGCAUCUUGGUCCUCCAAGUACUCUCUGUUUGUCAUUUCCUAUUUAAAGAUAUUUACAAUGUAGAAUUAGUUUGUGCUGGGAAAUGAAUUGGGCCAAAAAUGUCCGACAUUGAAAAUACACAAAAUAAAGGGGCAUCAUAUAAAUGGUUGGGGUGCAACAUUGAAUCAUUUUGAAGUGUAAAGCAACAUAAUCACUUGUAUAAGCCUGUAUGAAACUAAAUUAAAGUGUAAUUAGCACUCUCUCCAAAUUUAACAAUUUGAAUCAUCUCAGACCCAAUUGAUUCAAAGAAUUCAUUAACUACACAUUUCUCAAACCUGCAUAUGGAAAAUAGUCUCCAAUUGACUGCCUGAAGGUUUUGCGUGUAGAGAUGCAAUUGGAGACUAUUU
rnacentral:misc_RNA from 1 species